AAAAGAUUUAUCGGCAUACGAUGGAUCCGCGUCCGAUUAGCCAGUUGGCGGGGUAACGGCCCACCAAAGCGACGAUCGGUAGCCGGCCUGAGAGGGCGGACGGCCACAUUGGGACUGAGACACGGCCCAAACUCCUACGGGAGGCAGCAGUGGGGAAUAUUGCACAAUGGGGGAAACCCUGAUGCAGCGACGCCGCGUGAGUGAAGAAGUAUCUCGGUAUGUAAAGCUCUAUCAGCAGGGAAGAAAAUGACGGUACCUGACUAAGAAGCCCCGGCUAACUACGUGCCAGCAGCCGCGGUAAUACGUAGGGGGCAAGCGUUAUCCGGAUUUACUGGGUGUAAAGGGAGCGUAGACGGCGCUGCAAGUCCGGAGUGAAAGCCCAUGGCUUAACCAUGGUACUGCUCUGGAAACUGUGGAGCUUGAGUGCGGGAGGGGCAGGCGGAAUUCCUAGUGUAGCGGUGAAAUGCGUAGAUAUUAGGAGGAACACCGGCGGCGAAGGCGGCCUGCUGGACCGUAACUGACGUUGAGGCUCGAAAGCGUGGGGAGCAAACAGGAUUAGAUACCCUGGUAGUCCACGCCGUAAACGAUGAUUACUAGGUGUCGCGGUACGAAGUACUGCG
rnacentral:rRNA from 1 species